GCUGGGCAUGGUGGCGUGUGCCUGUAGUCCCAGCUACUCGGGAGGCUGAGGCGGGGGGAUCACUUGAGCCCAGGAGGUUGAGGCUGCAGUGAUCUAGGAUUGCACUGCUGCACUCCAGCCUGGGUGACAGAGCAAGACCCUGUCUCAA
rnacentral:SRP_RNA from 1 species